UCCNGGCAAGAUCUUGAAGCAGGUGCAUG
rnacentral:piRNA from 1 species